UACGUAGGGACCGAGCGUUGUCCGGAUUCAUUGGGCGUAAAGGGCUCGUAGGCGGCCAACUAAGUCAGACGUGAAAUCCCUCGGCUUAACCGGGGAACUGCAUCUGAUACUGGAUGGCUUGAGUUCGGGAGGAGGGAUGCGGAAUUCCAGGUGUAGCGGUGAAAUGCGUAGAUAUCGAGAGGAACACCUGCGGCGAAGGCGGGUUGCUGGGCUGACACUGACGCUGAUGCGCGAAAGCCAGGGGAGCGAACGGG
rnacentral:rRNA from 1 species